rnacentral:rRNA from 1 species
GACGAACGCUGGCGGCGUGCCUAACAUAUGCAAGUCGAGCGAAUGAAGUUCCUUCGGGAAUGGAUUUAGCGGCGGACGGGUGAGUAACACGUGGGCAACCUGCCUCAUAGAGGGGAAUAGCCUUCCGAAAGGGAGAUUAAUACCGCAUAAGAUUGUAGUAUCGCAUGAUACAGCAAUUAAAGGAGCAAUCCGCUAUGAGAUGGGCCCGCGGCGCAUUAGCUAGUUGGUGAGGUAACGGCUCACCAAGGCGACGAUGCGUAGCCGACCUGAGAGGGUGAUCGGCCACAUUGGGACUGAGACACGGCCCAGACUCCUACGGGAGGCAGCAGUGGGGAAUAUUGCACAAUGGGGGAAACCCUGAUGCAGCAACGCCGCGUGAGUGAUGACGGCCUUCGGGUUGUAAAGCUCUGUCUUCAGGGACGAUAAUGACGGUACCUGAGGAGGAAGCCACGGCUAACUACGU